rnacentral:rRNA from 1 species
GUAAUCUAAAAUAUAUUUAAUUAACAAUUCACGAAACUAGGCGAGCUAAAUUGAAUUUUAUUUUAGUGAUUAAGAUUAGCGUAGUAUAGUUAAUUAAUUAUUUUAAUUUAGGAGUGAUAUACCUAUCAAGUCUAGUGAUAUCUUGAUUUUAAGGAAACAUAUAUAGUAUGAAAGUCAUUUUAGAAAUGGUGAGGUUUCUAGAUAAAACAAAAAUUGAUUUCUUAGAAGUAGUAUUUGUAAAAAAUACUACUUAUUAAAUUUAUAACAUAUGGUACUAAAGGUUUGUUAAUUAUACUUAUAUUUCUAUGUAUAAUUAAUAAUAUAGAAAAAAAUGAUUACAUUAGUAUAUUAUACAUUCUUUAAUUAGGAACUCGGCAAAUAUUUUCUCAACUGUUUAUCAAAAACAUAGUUUUAAGUAAAUAGUUAAAAUUUUCUCUGCUCAAUGAUAAAUUAAAUAGCCGCAGUACCUUGACUGUGCAAAGGUAGCAUAAUCAAUUGGCUUAUAAUUGAAGUCUAGAAUGAAUGGGAUUUUGAGAAAUGACUGUCUUAUUAAAGUUUUUUGAACUUACUUAAUAAGUGAAAAUUCUUAUAUUUAGAAAAAAGACGAGAAGACCCUAGAAAUUUUUUAACUUUUAAAUUCUAAUUUCAUUUUGUUGGGGCGACAAGGUAACAAAAAACCUACCUUUAAAAAUAGGAAACUAUUAAGUUGAAAAACUAAAUUACUCUAGGGAUAACAGCAUAAUAUUAAAAAGUUUGUGACCUCGAUGUUGGACUAGGGAGAGUUAUACUUAAAAGGUAUAGCUCCUGGCUCUGUUCGAGCUGUAUCCCCUACAUGAUCUGAGUUCAGACCGG